UACAGAGGGUGCAAGCGUUGUUCGGAAUUAUUGGGCGUAAAGGGCGCGUAGGCGGUGCGGUAAGUCUGUAGUGAAAUCUCUGGGCUCAACUCAGAGUCUGCUGCAGAAACUGCCGUGCUUGAGUGUGGGAGAGGUGAGUGGAAUUCCCGGUGUAGCGGUGAAAUGCGUAGAUAUCGGGGAGGAACACCUGUGGCGAAAGCGGCUCACUGGACCACAACUGACGCUGAGGCGCGAAAAGCUAGGGGGAGCAAACAGG
rnacentral:rRNA from 1 species